rnacentral:rRNA from 1 species
UACGGGGGGGGCAAGCGUUGUUCGGAAUCACUGGGCGUAAAGGGCGCGUAGGCGGGAUGGCAAGUCGGUCGUGAAAUCCUUCGGCUCAACCGAAGAACGUCGGCCGAUACUGCCGUUCUUGAGGGAUGCAGAGGAGAUUGGAAUUCCCGGUGUAGCGGUGAAAUGUGUAGAGAUCGGGAGGAACACCGGUGGCGAGGGCGGGUCUCUGGGCAUCUCCUGACGCUGAGGCGCGAAAGCGUGGGGAGCAAACGGG